rnacentral:rRNA from 1 species
AUGUCGUCGCCUGUGCCGAGCUCGGCCUCGCCAGCACAGCCGGCUGCUGUUGUUCUUCGUCCUCGCACAUGCAGCCAGACAUGUGUUUUUCAGCCAAAGAAACACCCUGAUGGGACUAUCGCGUGGCUCGUUGCUUGCAUGGCUCAUAUUGCUGCGGAUCCCACUGCUGAGUCUCGCCAUUUUCAGGUUGCACUGGGUAUUCCUCAUUGGCAUGCCGCGAUGGAACAUGAGUUUCAGGCCCUGCUGCAGAAUGGCACUUGGCAUCUUGUUCCACCAAAGUCUGAUGUUAACAUUAUUGAUUCAAAGUGGGUUUUUAAAGUCAAGGGACAUGCUGAUGGUUCUAUUGCGCGCUAA